UACAUCGGUUACAAUCUCUUGUCU
rnacentral:siRNA from 1 species